CAGGCUCCUGGUGGCUGCCUUCAGUGUUCAAACAAGCUCAUCUGACAGCCCUGGGGUUCUCUGGGACCUGAUGGAGACACUCAGUAAUGUCACGGCCCGAUGAAAAUGAACAUCGCAUCCUGAACCUCCAAGACAGAUGUGAAGCAGCAUGGAAUCAAUCCAUAAUUGAAAGAGGGGCCAGCUCUGGCGUCAAGAAGAUCUGAUUCUAGCCCUGCCUCCUGGGCACCCUGUGAGUGCAUGGAAGAGCGAGCGGGCCCAGGCCAAGUUUCUACGUGUUUUGCAAUGAAUUUUAUUGUUUAUACACUGAGUUUUGACUA